rnacentral:rRNA from 1 species
UUAACCUACGGGACGCAGCAGUAGGGAAUCUUCCACAAUGGGCGCAAGCCUGAUGGAGCAACACCGCGUGAGUGAAGAAGGGUUUCGGCUCGUAAAGCUCUGUUGUUGGAGGAGAACGUGCGUGAGAGUAACUGUUCACGCAGUGACGGUAUCCAACCAGAAAGUCACGGCUAACUACGUGCCAGCAGCCGCGGUAAUACGUAGGUGGCAAGCGUUAUCCGGAUUUACUGGGUGUAAAGGGAGCGCAGGCGGCUUGGCAAGUCUGAUGUGAAAGGCUGGGG